GAUAUCAAAGGAACCAAUGAUGUACACAGUACUGCUACUGGUACAAACAAGCCAUUGAUAGGAGGUCCUCCACUCUCUCCUAUUGCAUUAAUGGAUAUACCAGAUGAUAGACCAAAAGUAUCUGAAUUGAUAGAGUUUCAUGAGUUAUUGAUCAAAGGACAACUGGAGGAGUCUCUACCACUGCUUGAUGCUGAUAC